AAAAAACACCGUGAAUCCCGGCAAUGCUAUUCCAAGCCAAUCUCAGCCGUUCAUCUCUCCUCCGCUCUCACUUCUCUUCCUUUACCUUCCCAGAAACGCCAUCAUCUCUCUCCGCCCCAACACCACCAUGGUUCGCCAUCCUACGCACCGCCAUCUCGUCCAAAUCCCUCCGCCUCGGACAAUGCACACACGCUCGCAUUAUAGCAUCCGGCCUCUCUCACGACCGCUUCCUCACCAACAACCUCAUCAACAUGUAUUGCAAAUGCGGGUCUCUAACCUCCGCACGCCACCUGUUCGACAAAAUUCCCGACCGAGAUCUCGUUACAUGGAACUCGAUCCUCGCAGGCUAUGCUCUCUCCCCCGACACAGCCCAGCAAGGCCUUCUCCUUUUCCGCCUUCUGCGCAGAUCCGCAGUCUCCCCCAGCCGGCUCACGUUAGCUCCAGUCCUUAAGAUAUGCUUGCACUCGGGUUUACUCGAUACGUCAGAAACUGUCCAUUCUUAUGCUGUGAAGAUUGGUUUGGAUUGUGACGUCUUCGUCUCGGCUGCUCUUGUCAAUAUAUACUCGAAAUUCGGACGGAUUGAGGACGCUCGCUACCUGUUUGAUGAAAUGUCUGAGAGAGAUGUUGUGUUGUGGAACAUAAUGAUUAAGGCGUACUCACAAUUGGGUCUCGAGAAUGAAGCUGUUUCUCUGUUCUCAGCAUUGCACCGGUGUGGGCUGGGCCCGGAUGAUGUUAGUGUUCAGUCCAUCCUUAGCAGGGUUUCUGAGAAGGAGAAUGUCGAGCAGGUUCGGGCGUAUGCGAUUAAGGCAUGUUUGUUUGAAGAGAACUCGGACAUAAUUGGCUGGAAUAAAGCCAUGACCGGGUUUUUACAAGGCGGCGAUAAUGAGGCUGUGAUCGAAUGCUUUAUGGAGAUUAUGAGAUUCAAUGUAGGAUAUGACAAAGUGACGUUUGUGAUUGUUCUCAGUGCAAUUGCAGGUGCUAGUGAUUUGAAAGCUGGGGAGCAGAUCCAUAGUGUGGUUGUAAAAACCGGGUUAAGUUUGGAUGUUGCUGUCAUGAAUAAUCUCAUCAACAUGUAUGUGAAGACCGGCUGUUUGGAUUAUGCAAGGAAGGUGUUUGACGAGAUGGAAGAAUUGGAUCUGAUUUCAUGGAAUUCAAUGAUAUCAGGUUAUGUGCAAAGUGGUUUGGUGGAAGAAUCCGUUGCCCUUUUCUUGGGUCUUUUGCGCGACGGUGCAAUCCCGGAUCAGUUUACACUGGCAAGCAUUCUUCGGGCCUCUUCAGCUCUUGCCAGAGGCUCCAUUUUGGGAAAUUGAACAACCUGCAUUGAUUCCACAUAUAGCUGAGGCUAGCUCUCUGAAGUACCCUUAUGAAGUUCUCUUUGGGAGCUUGCAUAAGCUUCUAAUGGAUACUGCUACUUCAGAAUAUCUUUUCUGUGAUGAUUUCUUUGGGGAAGAAUCUAUUUUCUACGAAAUAUUUGCAGCAUUUCUUUCAAGGUGGGGUGGGUUGUAGUUACCUCCGGACAACAAAGCUGUGUUAUAGAAUUGAGGACCAUUUGCGGUUAUUGUUGAACAUUUCAAUUCAAUUCUUCCAAAUUUUUACGAUGCAAUAGGUUCAAUGCUUAUGAUCCGCAUAAUACACCAACAUCAGUUAAUUAUGUCUCGACGGAGGAUUCCAUGCUUGGAUUCGUAC